rnacentral:rRNA from 1 species
CAGUCGUACCUGCGGAUAAUCAGCCUUUAGGAUGCGAUUUUGUGGAGCGUGAGGAGCUAAUCGCCUUCAUGCCUAUAUAUUCGUGUACUUGGGGUGUACUUAUUCGUGAGGUAAGUUAACAUCAAUUUUGGUAUCAUAAAAUGGUUGGAGGAAUGUAGCUUCGAUCUCGUAUUGAAGUGUUAUAGCCUUCGGCAGAUGUGAUGAUCGAGAUUGGAGGAUUGCAAC